GUGAAUCAUCAAAUCUUUGAACGCAAAUUGCACUCUCCGGUUUUCCGGGAGAGUAUGCCUGUUUGAGGGUCUGUUUAAAAAAUAAUCGCGGCUGCUGCUGUGGUGACGUUAGUCGGCCAUUGGGUCAUCUUAAACCUUUUGGUUUUUAAGCGACUUAAAAUUUUCUUUUGACCCCAUGAACGUUUCUAAGAUUUAUAUCUUUACACGUUUAAGGGUAUCGAUUUUAUUAGACGUGGCCGUCAUAUCGGAUCGCGUCCAUAAUCUUUCAUUAACUGACCUCAGACAGGUAAGAGUACCCUC
rnacentral:misc_RNA from 1 species